CCCGCGUUCUCGGACUCCCCUAUUGCGUCCCCAGCUCCUUUCCAGGCAUCAUCGUCCCGCGCCCCAGCGCCCGCCACUCCGGCCCACAGCCGACUUAGUUCCCUGGUUCCCUUCCCUGUGGAGCCGGGGGACACCCAUGGAGUGGAAAUCUAGCGGGACUCUCCACCCCUUCCACGCCUCUCAGGUCUCUAGGCACCGGGGACACUGUGCUAACUUGCCGGCUCCAAAAAGCCUAAGGCCGAGUUUGUAACGGCGCGCUCAAGUUGCGUACUGGACUUUGGAGAUGCCAGCCUUAGUGCGGACACCUGGGCUGUGCCAUCCGAACCCACUUGGACUGCACAGAGUAUGUGCGACUCUCCCCACUCGCUGGGAGCCUUGAAUUCUAGCUCUGUCUUUCUCUCUGUUUCUCCCUUUCCUCUUGUCAGUAUCCACUUCCUCCAGCUGAGGGGCCUUGUCUGGCUAUUGGAAAACUCUCUGCAGAUGUCAAGGCUUAAGACAGGAGUUCCUCCCACUAUCCUCCACCCUGGAGCCAGAGGGGCCAGGAUGGGGGUGAGCAUCCAAAACUGGUGAUUGUGUCAGGGCAUUGCUUCUGGGUUGGAGGACAAUAUGUGUUCAUCUCCUGACAGGCCUAUAAAACACAUCAUGAGUUACAAUAAGUUCAUAAAAAUCUUCCAGUACUAUGGGUGUCUGACUAUGUUUUUCACAACUUGGGUUUUUUUUUUUUUAACUUUCUAGUUUCUUUGGGACUUUCCCAGGCAUAACAGCUUUAACCAUAUCGGACUGAAAACAAAUUCUGUGCUUUAAUGGGAGGAUUGGAGUUCUCAGAGUGAACGCUAAAAUGUCCAAGGUCAUUUUGCCCUUCCUUAAAAUGUUAAUUACUAGCUUAACUGUAGCCACAGAUGUGGUUUAUUUCCUUCAUCCAGAGAAAUAAACUAUUUCGAAUGACUGUCAUUUUUAAAGUACUGCAGAGGACCAGGCGUUAGUUUCACGCAGGGCAAGUAGUAGGUUCAUUCAGUAGCUAGUGUCCUUAUAACAAGGGAGCAUUGGAGCCUUCCAACUUUUUUGUGUGUGUGGCUUUAUGCAUAACUUACUUUGACUUUAUCAGUCAAUGCAUCGCAACAUGGGAGCUAUUUAGCCUCUGGAAAUGCAGUGGCUUUUUAGAACAUUUAAGCAGGUUAUUUUAAGAGAGAACAACAUGUUUUCCAAAACAAUAACUUGGUGGAAACAAAUAGCAGGAGUGUUUGGCAGGCGUUUUUGGAUAAGCUACAAAUUCAUCUCCCUUGUUGCUUAUUUUUAUUGAUAAAUAUCCCCAGUGCUUGUCAUGUCUCUCUCUCUUCCUCUCCUUUCCCCCUUAAAUUAUGUGGCUUUUUAGGAGAGUUACUUCCGUGAUAAACUGUUCAAGUAAGAAUAUUUCAAAGUAGAUUUGGAAAUUAAAGCCCCAGUUCAUUUUGAUAACCCAUUUUAGUUAUUUUAUUUGUUUUAUGAUUCUUUUUGUCUAGUGCCUGGUUAUGCAGCAAAAUGCUACAUUUAUUCAGAAAAAUAUUGUUGAGAGAUUGGAUUUAACUAACAUGCCACAUACCUGCCUUUUCAACAAGUUUCCAGUUUCUUUUCUCCGUAAAUCUGGAGUUGGUGGAUCUUCCAAUAGUAAUGUCUUCCUUAUCUGUUUUACCCAUGCACAUGCAAAUAACGACAGUGAUGUUAGCUUCCAGGAAGCCCUCACACAUAACUUGAGCUUUAGAAGUGGAUUUCUUUUUUAAAAUACACUUAAUUUUCAAUUAGAAUGAAAUGAAAUAUGGGUUAAGCUUUUUUAAAUUUGAAAGCUCUCCCAUUUGUAGAUAUGGUAUUCUGACAUGAGAUGGUUUAAUAUUGCUUUACAGUGGUUUUUAUUUACAGAAAGUCUUAACAGAGGUAACAUUUCUUCACCAGCCAAUAUAUAAUAAAAAUCUUCACACUUUAACCCCAAAGAAUUCUUCAAGGGUUGAGCACAGUGCUUUAAGUUUCCAAAAUUAUCAACAAGUGAAUUAUGCCUUCUAAGAAAGUAAAUUUUGAACCCGUUUGACAGUAGAACCCGGUGCAGAGGUCACAAGGCAUUUUGUGAUGCAUAGUUCCAGUGUAAGAUUACGUAGAACCACCAUGUUGGAAGAAAUAAGACUAGUUUUCUGAA